GAGAUGUAACAUCUUCGAGUCAUUUUAGUUCAGGGACUAUUUAUUAAUGUACACUCAUGAUGAAUGCUGGCUGCCUCUAGAACAGGAGUCAAGGAGAUUAAAAGCUCCUGUCUCAUGAACCUACGCUGUGGUCCCAGUCCCUAGAGGGACAGAGAAACUACCUGAGCUUGAGGAGUGAAGGGGAGGCUACCUGAGUCUGGAUGGCAGCACGCAUCUUCAGAAAAGGGAAUCUGUCACUCAAAUUCCCAGGAAGAGAUAGCCAGAUCUUCAAAGGAGGCAGACAGUCAGUGUUCUGAAGGAACACUGUCUGGACACAUAGGACCACAGCCAGACACGUGUCCAUUGACCUUGUUGGAGCUUGAUUCUGUUGCUGAACUGGAGGGAUUUCAGGCUCAGAGCAAGUGUCACACCAACUGAUUGAAGCACAUGGAACUGACUGUAGCUUCUGUUGCGUCCAUUUGAAGGAACUCACUCUUCAGAUGCUGGAAUCAACGUUUCUACAGCCCACUUGGUGACAAGAGGUAGAUGCCACCUUGUGUGUGCUUGCUCCUGGAGUCUUAAUACAGGAAGGUAUGAAGAAUGGAAAGAUCAGUGCAGCCUGACCUGGUCUUGUCUCUGUGUACAAAGAAGACUCUGUCCUUAACUUCUGAAGAAUCCCCUAUUUGCUAUCUUAUGACUAGCAUGGUACAUGUAAUUAAAAUCAUAUGCAUUAUGGGAAAGGUCAGGCCAAUCAAAAUGGAGAACCCAGUCAGUAUGAUGGCCUGGCGCAUACACAAGUAUCUGCUGACCUGAUUUGGAUCCUUGAAACCCCCAAGGUCGAAGAAGAGAACUGAAUCCUGCCAGUUGGCUUUUGACUUCUACAUCCAUGUGGUAACACACAUGAACCCUAACAUAUGUGCACUCAAAUUAAAUAAGUGUAAAAGAAGAUCUAUUAAAAACAAACAAACAAACAAACUCCCCCUUCUCUAAAACCCCAUAAACGGAACCCCCAAACAGUGAUAAGAGACCUUGGCUAUCUCCACUCACAUGC